rnacentral:lncRNA from 1 species
CCAAGGUCAGCAUUGAUCCUUUUAUCUGGCCUCUCCUCCCACCUCCCUUAGGGUUUGAAAACCACUUCGUUCCCACUGGCAGCUGCAGGCGAAGCUUUCUCUCAGUGGGGUCAUUGUUUUUUUUCCCAAAAUUGAGCUGAGAUCCAUUUAAUGCACCAUGAAAACUAACUUAAUUAGGAAUCAAAUUCAUUCUUUUGUGAGACCAGCGGUAAGCGUCCAACACUCCCUCCGCUGCCGCCCCCACGUUUUUCUGCGUUUUUUGCUAAGCCGCCUCUGCUGAAGUCCGUGACUCCAGGGCAGCCGCCCCUCCACCGCUGCCCACCUGCCCCUGACUUCUCUCUCUCUCUCUCUCUCUCCAUUUUAAGCAACCGAGGCGCACUCUGGUUUUGCAAGUCUGACAUUCUUUACGUCGCCUUCCCGGAAAAAUUUGUCCAGGGCUGGCGUCCGGCCGAGGCGGUGCAUCUGACGCCCGGGAGAAGCAGAGCGCGUUUCUUUUGGCGUGGACCUGGGACCCCCGCGGGUUCCAGGGGCGGCACGCCUUGGGGUCGGCAUUGGGACCUGGCUGCGAGGCAGCUCGGCGGCCAGGAAGGCGCCGGCGGCGGCGGGAGGGUGCCAGGCAGCCCCGGCUGGUAACUGCUGUUCUAGCUCUGCAACCGAGCGCUCCUUUCCACCGCGGUUUGGGCUAAUGAUGGGUCCUGCCGGCGUGAACGCCGUGUUUAUUAUACCUUCACCAGCCCAGGGGAGGGGUGCGCGCCUGAGCGCCCGGGGUCCAGGAACGCCAGAGCUGCAACGCCGAAAACUUUUCAGGCUGGGAAAAGGUCUUGGGGCCCCUCAUACACGCCUUUUUCGCACUCGCUUGGCCUCGACUUGGUCAAGGGCGGAUUCGGCCUGCCUUCAGGCUGGGGGGCCUCGGGGCACCGGGGUGCACCCGGGGCCCGCCCCCUUGGGGAGGCACCUUCUGGAAACCCAGGCCCCGCGCGUCUCCCGCCGGGACUGCCCCUUGGGCGGUGGUAAAACUGCCCAGGCCCCGGGUAUCAGGAUCAUACUCAAACCCCAACCCCUGCCCGCCCCAGCCAGGAGGGGAGACGGUUGGGAGUGGGAGGCCUCGGCGCUGUUCUCUGGAUGCAACUGAGAUUGCCGCUAGAGGGUGACGCCUGGGUCGGAAUCCAAGGAUUUGUGAAGAGGUGACCCAAAUUUCAAGACAAUGUUGGAUGCAAACGGAUUUGCCAGCAACUGCAUCACUGUCAAAACCAGCUCUGCCCGUGUCUUCCGAAGAUACCAAGUGAAAUACAUGUAGAUGGGAUUUACAUCUGAAAAACCAAGGCAAGAGGCCAUGGGAAGGGACGGAGGUGGAACAGGACUGGACAGAAGCUGAUAAAUGGUUGUUGCUGAGUACUGGGCAGAUAGGGGGGCCAGUGUGGGUUGUGGCGUGAGGCAGGAAGCUCUGCAGAGUUCCUUGGUCAAAAGGAUUAAUUACAAAAGAACUCCAUGAACACCGAGAAGAAGAGAAGGGAAUCCUGGCAUUUAAAGCCACAAAGAAACUUGAUAUGGUCUUGUCUCCUUCUCUCAAUUGACAGUGAGAAACUGAAGACCAGAGAGGGUGAGUGGUUUACUCAGUUUGGCACAACUGACCCCAACCUAGCCCUCCAUGAGGACUGAGCGCAUGAGAGAUCCUGAGCCACAGCCGCCCAGCCCUGCUCCUCUCGAAUUUCUGACCUACAGGAACUGCAAGAAGUAAUGAAAGACUGCUGUUUAAAGCCACUGCAUUUUGGCAUGAUUUGUUAUGCAGUCGUAGAUAACCAGAAAACAUCGGAUUUACAUUUUAAGGUAAACUUUUUAUUGAAACAUCACAUACACACAGAGACGUCCACCAAUUGGCUCGAUGAGCUUUCUCAAAGGAAACACAUUCUCUGAGCAGUGUGCACAUCCAGACACAUCAUCUCCAUCCUCCAGAAGCCCCCUCCUGUUAUCGCCACUCACAGGUCACCCGUCUCCUGACUUGCAGCCACAGAGAUAGUCCUGCCUAAUUCUGAACGUGGUACAAACGGAAUCAUACAGAAUGGGCUUGGCUUCUUUCACUCUGGGCUGUGUUUAUGAGCAUCACCCAGAUUGCUGCAUGGAAGCCAUCGUUUGUUCAUUUUCACCACCAUAGAGUAUUCUACUGUUGAUGGGACAUAGGCUAUUUAUUCCUUCUACUGUUGAGGGACGCAUAGUUAUUUCCAGCUGGAGACUGGUAUAUGUCUCUUGGCUACCUUCUGCAUGCAUUUCUGUUGGAGGUUGUUUCAGGUAUCUCUUAACGUAUAACAGACCACCCUCAAAUUGAGUCCUUGAAACAAUUACCAUUUUCUUCUUUCUCAGGAUUUGGUGCAUGGGAUGGGCUCAGUUGGGCAGUUCUUCUGUUCCAUGUGAUGGUACUGGGGCUGCAGUCAUUCAGAGGCUCAACUGGGCUGAACGUGCAAGGUUUCUUGCUCACGUGGCCAUCAGUGGUGCUGGCUGCUGUUGGGAGCUCCACUGGACUUCUGUCCAGAGCUCCUCAGCUCACCUCUCUGUAUCCUUGCCCUGUGGCUCAGGCUUCUAACAAUACAGAGGCUGGAUUCCAAGAGGAGGGAAUUAGAAGCGUUCAGCCUUCUUAAGACCAGGAUUCAGAUGUCCCAGACUGUCACUGUAUUGACCGGAGCAUUUACAGGCCAGCCUAGUAAUUUUUCCAUCUUGGGCAGGAAUGGGUGGCAUAUGCUGGGGGUAGGGGUAGCAUUGUUGGGGAUCAUCUUUGGAGCUGUGUGCCAAGGAGUAAAUUGCUGGGCUGCUUUCUACCUGAGGAAGUCCACUAUGCUUGCUUGUGGAGAGUGGAUUGUGUGCUCAGAGUCCACAAGGAUUUAAGAAUCCGAGCCCUGCUGCCCUUGCCUCAGCCUGUGCAUUAGGGCCCGGUGGUGAGAGCACUGAGCCAUUGUGAAUCAAGGCCCCUCCCUCGACCUGCAUACUAACAGGCCAGAAGAGCUUGCUUGAUUUUGGUCCUAGGCUCCUGCCUGUGGGUUGGAUUCCAGGGGCACUCUCUCCUCCACAAACCAGACGGUGGCAGGUACAUCCCCUCAAUGGAAAUUGCCCACACUUCACCCUAAAGACAGAUCCUGCUGUUCAGCAACAAUGUGAGUGGCCCACACAUUUGUCCAGCAUGAAACCGUUUGCAGAUUCCUUUCCAGUACACAGUCCCGUCAGCCGGUCACUUCACGAUGACAGCUCCUCGAAGCACCUUUUGGUUUGCAGUUGUGUAGCUUAGAAGUAGGAGCCUGCACGGCUUCAGGAAUUCACAGAAGGAGCACACUUUGUGCUUGGAGAAGUUAAUUAUAGGAAUAUCCUGCAACCUGCUGCUCUGAGCCUGUGCACCUGGGGUGUUUCCCUGGAGGUCCUGUGUAUGAGGAUACUCAUCAGCAUGGGGUUUGGGAAGCCUAGCAGUGGAGACAACCUAGGUGGUCCUCUCCAGGGGAGUAGGUAAGAGCCCUACAGCAGUGAAAAGCAUUGAAGGAAAAGUGUGUUCAGCAGUGCUCUUAAUCUGAUCAGAGCAGCCUGAACACAUUCUAAACACAGGGCAUUUAGAACUAGGGUAGAGGCACUAGAGCACCAUAGAUACAAACUCAGAUUCUGAAGGUAAAUGCCCAGGUUCAAAUCCAAGCCCCCUCGCCAAGUGACCAUGACUCCCCCGAGUCACCUGACCUCUGUGUUUACAUCCUCAAAGUUAAGUAGUCAGGAAAGGGGGCUUGGGGCUUGCCACAUGGAUGGUUGCCACUCUCCUUUGCAAAGUGUAGUCCCCAAAAACAGGUGGAAGAGGGAAGGGUCCAAUUAGAAGGCCGAGUACCAGCUGCCAUGAAUAUGCCAGAGCUGCUGGCUAGUGAUAAAUAACUGAAACCCAGGGGGACAGCAGAGCUUGGGUGACCAUACAUUCUAGGAAAGAAAACAUGCCUGUUGUCCUGGCUUUUUAUCCAGCUUAGACAAAGAUGGGCAAAGAAAAUAAUUUAGAAAAUGGUAGAGAUGGGCACAGAGAAAGGGCACGGAGGGAGGCACAAACAGAAGGCCAAGUGAUGGUGGAGGCAGACAUUGGAGAAAUGCCUUUACAAGCCGGGGAAUGCCAAGGAUGCUGGCAACCCUGGGAGUGGGAAGAACCUGGAACACACCCUCCGUCAGAGUCUCCAGAAGGAACUGGCCCUUCAUCACCUUUCGGACUUCUGGCCUCCAGAACUGGGCAAGAAAAUGUUUCUGCUGUUGGAGGCCAUCCAGCUGGUGGUCAUUUGUUAUGGUUGCCACAGAAAACGAAUAUAGAUUUAGACAUCUAAUUUGCAUAUAUAGAUAUGCAUGUGUAUUUGUUAAAUAAAAGAUAAAGCAUGACAACUCGAUGGACAACGUUACAACUCAUUAAAUUGUGUUGGUUAAAAAAAAUGAUAGAUAUCACCCACACAUUUUUAUGUGCUGGCAAACAGAAAAAAAUCUAAGACUACAUAGGGUUCCUCUUAUUUUAAUUAUUUUAUUCUUUUAAACAACAAACAAUGUGACUAAAGCAAACAGAAAUUAUUUUUUCAUGAAACAAACAGAAAGGGUUCAAUGCACUUAAAUGAUCAACCAUCCCCACCAGCGUGGAAACAGGGCUGGGCUUGCAGACAGUGAUGUGUGUGGUGUGCAUCUGUGGGGUUUGGGGUUUUGCUUACUUUGAGGGAUGGGAAUAGAAGCCUUUCCGAGAAAUGCACACCCAGGAGCGAGUUCCUGGGCCACAGUGCUGGCUCCCUGCUUACUGGCUCAUGGUGCAAUCUGGGUUUGGGGGCAGCUUUGCUACAGGCAGGAGCCUCGACCCUUCGGAAAAGGAUUCCACUCCUGAGAGCCCAUCUGUCUCUGAGUCUCAGGACACGCCAGCCAGAAACUGCAACCCUUCUGUGUCAAGCAAACAGCACUCAUGCCUUUGAAAUUCCCCAGUGUUCCCAGCACACCUGCAGCAUUUGGGAACAUUGUUCUCAGUAUUCUCUGUGCUCAUCUACUUGGAUGCCAGACUAUUAUCAUCAUCCCCAUUCGACAGGGGAAACUGAGGCACAGAGAGGUUAAAGUCACUUUCCCACUGUAGGACAACAGGACUAGAACCGCAGAGCUCCACCAUCCAGCUGAAGGAGGAAGGGGGCUUAGCUGCGUGGAAAGGGGGCGCCCCACGGAACUCACCCUUGGCUUCACCUUCACCUGUCCUUGGCCGGCUCCGUUUCCCCUUUCUAUCUUCCUGGGUCUCAGUUCAAGGGCCACCUCCUCAGAGGGGCCAUCCCCACACCAGGGCACCCUCCCCCAACUCACUCCUCCCCAGUUUGCUCUGUGCGUGCUACCUUACUUGUCACUGUCUGAAGUUAUCCUGCUUUUGUCAGGGUCCCGCGGGCAGGGAAUAUUCUCUCUUGUUCCUGGAGGUCGUUGCCUCCCCAGCACUUAGCGGAGUGCUGGUUCCCAACUCCUGGGUCUGCAUCCUCGUGGACCGAGCACACAGUGCUGUUGGAGACACGGGGGGCUUGGGCCCUGACCUCAGCCUCUGACAUUUAUAUCCACGUGUGGAGUGCCCGGCACAUCAUGUUUAACCCUCGAUGGGAACAAGACAGUUGCCCCAUUUUGAUGUAAGAAGAGGCCAAGUCACCUGGCCCAGGUCACGCAGCAACAGGUGAAUUGAGAGCCAGGCACCCCUGACUCCUGAGUCCCAGGCUGCAGCCUGGUCUGAGGGCUGGGAAGACUUAAGGAAAUUCCAAGGGAACAGUUACUCUUUUUGUUAGGAGUCAAUAGCCGUGAGACCAGGAUGCUGGAUGCCCAGGGUCUCGCCAUCUGGAGGUUUAGACAGAGGCUCCAGAAAUGAGGCAACAGGCAUGAAGUCACCCCACAAAGGCAAGGCCAUCCAAGCAGGACACCCCAUGAGAGGGAAGUGGGUUCUGCCCCGGCCUCAGCCUGCAAGAACAGGACAGCAGCAGGGCAGAGGAAUGAAGAGCCCCAUUCAAGGGCCUCCACGGAGCUUCCACAGCAUCCCUGAACCAUCUCUCUAGGGCCUCUGGUGAGCAUGUGUGCAUGGGACACUAGGGCCCUAUUUUUUUAAGCCACUGUGGUCAAGUCUCUCCUACAGCAGCUGUACGUGCUUGGUAACUAACAUACGCUUGAAUGUCUGACUCCUUUUGCAUUUCUUUGAGAGACAGGAGUUCACCCCAGGAAGGAUUAUGAUGUUAUGGUUGGAAUGCAGAGAGAAAGCUUUUGAUUUCCAAAACAGGCUGUUUGAGUCUGUGUCAUCCCAAUAGCCCUGAUGUCUUGAUGAGAAAGUCCUGCAUGAUGACCACCUGCCCUUUCUAUAGCAGGAGUCAAGAUCUCUGAAACAGGUUGUGGAGUUUCACAGGACCCACAAGUAGAGGAAUCCCUGCCUGCAUCUGCAAUGGGAAUCCUUCAGAAGGAAAGGCUGAGAGGAGCGAGGUGAGGCUGGGUGGGUGUGGCUGGGUGGGGUGAGGCUGGUGUUCUCAGGGUUGAACCUCAUGGGGUAGAUGCAAUCAGAACCCAGGAGGUCUGAGGACUGUGGGACCUCCAAGCAACUACCCUGGACUACUCGUCCAUGAUUUUCAGAUAGAGCCACACUCUCUUCUGCAGGAAGGAGACAAAAAUUUCCGAGAUGGCAGAGAAAAAUAGUCACCCUGGUGUGGGAGUGCCCUGAGGCUGCCAGAGAAAAUCACCACCACAAACUUGGUGACUUAAAACAUCAGAAAGUUAUUUUCUCAUAAUCCUGGGGGCCAGAGCCUGAAAUCAAGCUGUCAGCAGGGCUCUGUUUUCCCUGGAGGCUCCAGGGGCAGCUCCUUCCUGCCUCUGCCAGCUCCUGGUGGCUCCAGGCACUCCUGGGCUUGGGCAACUUCACUCCAAUCUCUGUCUCUGUGUCUUCCUCUUCUGUCUCUUAUAAGGGCACUGUCAUAGGACUCAGGAACCUCUCCAAACAGGAUGAUCUCAUGUUGAGAUGCCUAACUGAUAAUAUCUACAAAGACCCCUUUUGCAAAGAAGACCUCAUUCACAGGCUCAGGGGUUAGGAUGUGACCAUCUCUUCUUGGUGAAGAGUAGUGAGGGCUACCAUUCAGCCCACUACACCCAGCAGUAGCCAUUCCAUGCCCUGCAGCUGCACUGAGAUGACAGAAGUUGUUGUAGGAAAUUCUUCCAUUUUCUCUUCCUGGAAAGCAAAACUAAUGCAGGAAGACGGGAGGGGAGAGUAGGAGAUGUGUGUGGAGUAUGGGUUUGGCUGCUGCAGUGCAGAUCCAGAAUAGCACAGGUCUGAAUGAGAGGGAAAUUAAGUCUUGCUCAUUCACUGCACUCCAGGUGUGUCGUGUGCAGGGCUGAGUGGUAGUCCCCUGUGCCAGAGAUCCGGAAUCUCUUGCUGGUUCCUCUGCCAACCAUAGGCUGCUGUACCCGUCUGCAUGGCUCACCUCCAAGUCCUCUUUCUGGCCGAGGGGAGGGCUGUCCACGACUAAUGGUGAGGUUGGUGCACGUUGUCAUGGCUGAGAGCCUCCUCCUGGUGCUGUGUAUCCUAACUGCCUGUACUCUAUUGGUUGUUCAAUGUUUGGGCUGCCACCCCUGGUAUAUCCCUCCCCUUGAAGGCAUGACCCAGAAGUUAUACCCGUCUUUUCCUCUUCCACUCACACCCUAUUGGCCAGUAUUUGGUCCUAUGACCACAGCUAGCUGCAAGGGAGUCUGGGAAAUGUAUUCUUUAUUGGAGAUGGCCAUUUGCCUGGCAGAAAAUUCUAAUAAUGGAUAUUGGGGAAAUGGAUAACUGGGUGAUAGCUAACAUUCUCUGCAAAGGAGGGGUCUGGCUUUCUGGGACCACGCUCAGCAUCUCCUGGCUCUUCCACUGACCGGGAGAUUGCUGGAGAAAGGCUGAUGGGUCUUUGCCUGGAAAAGCCCUAGAUCUUAUGGUGGCCUGGUUCCUUGAGGAUAGCAGUUAUGGGACAUUGCUGGCUUCACUGCUUGUUUUUACACCAGCUGAUGCCCACUGCCCCAGCAUGACAAGGGUUCAGCUUUCUGUCCUUUGAGAUGAUAGCCCACUCUCUGCCCGUAUAGGCGAAGAGAAAUGCAUUGACUAUACACUUUGGUGCUAGGUACUGUAGCAAGCAUUUCUCCAUGAAUUAUUGCUGUUUGAGAAGCUGCAGGAACUCUCUGGCAAACUGCCCUCUGCAAAAUAGGAUGUAAACAAUCCCCCAGAGUAGCCUGCUCAAGGCCUUUGGGGACCUGGGGGCAGCCCCCAGCAUGACUUGGCUCUGGGGUGGUAUGUUGCCCAGCAGGCUGUGUGAGGUUACCAGCCAUAGGAAGGCAAAACCACCGCCUUUCCUUGGCAAUAUCCUACUUGCAUUGUGUGUUUCAAAGCCUCCUGCCAGAUCCCAAACCAAGCACGCCCCCUGUCCUGUUCUCUUUGUGGCUCAGUGGCAAUAGGGAGUGGACCUGCUCUAACCUACUCAUUCAUUUACUUUUUCAGCAGUCAUUCAUUUAUUCAGCAAAUAAGAGUACAUUCUAAGGGCCAGACCAUGUGCUAAAUGCACCAGGCAUCAUCUCUGCAGCUAAGCAGUGUGUGAUAUUAUGGAUAGACAGACACAGACACGAUGAUAUCAUGCUAAACUGUUAUGCUAAAGUAAUGUGAAUUGGCCAAUAAGGAUAUGGAAAUAGGUCCAGUCUCACUAGAACUGUUCAGGAAAUGUGAAUACUAAUCCCCUAGAUACCUACUUCUGGGUAUAUAUCUAAAGGAACUGAAAAUGGGGCUGAGCUUGGUGGCUUGCACCUGUAGUCUCACCCACUCAGGAGGUGGAGGAGUGAGGAUCUUUUGAGCCCAGGAGUUCAUUGCUGUAGUGAGCUAUGAUCACACCACUUCAUUCCAGCCUGGGCGAUAGAGCUAACCCAUCGCUUAAAAAAACAAGAAGCAAAAAAAAAAAAAACAGCAACUGGAUCUCAAAGAGAUAUUUGCACACUCAUAUUCACAGCAGCACUGUUCACAACAGCCAAGAGGUGGUGGCAACCCAAAUAUCCACUGACAGAUGAAUGGAGAAACAAAAUGAAGUAACAUUUUUCACCCACUGGAUUAAAUCUGUUAUUGGUGGGAGUAUCAGCAGCUGAACUCUUCGGUUAAGUAAUUUAGAAAUAACCUUAUAAUUUUAAAUGCAUGAAUCCUGUGAUACAGCAGUGUCUCAUUUGGAAGUUUUGAGAAAUGAAAGGAGGUGACAGGUUGGCUUAAGUGAGACAGUGGAACCCCUUAGCACUCUGCCCAGCAACCAGCUAGCACUCAAGAAGUGGCAUAGAAACUUAUCAUUCCAGCACUGAUGAGAAGACAUCCCUCCCCUCACACCUCCCAACCAGCUUAGUCAUACGAGCGGUAUUAGCAAUCAGGGUUUCCAGAGAAAAAGAACACACGCAUACACACACACGCAUACACACACACGCAUACACACACAAACAGAACACCCCCCACCACGCGCACACAGACACACACACACACACACACACACACACACACACACACACACACAGAGGUUUACAUGGCUGUGGAGGUUGGUAAGUCUGAAAUCCACAGGGCAGGCCAGCAGGCUGGAAUCCCAGGCAGGAGCUGAUGCUGUGUUCUUCAAGCAGAAUUCCUCCAUCCCAGGAAAACCUCAUAUUUGGUUCAUAAGGCCUUCACCUGAUUGGAUGAGGCCCACCCUCGCUGUCACAGGUAAUCUGCUUCUCUUAAAGCCGGCUGAUGGUAGAGGUUAAACACAUCCACCGCAUACCUUUGCAGCAACAUUUAGAUGAGUGUUUGAAUCUCUGGGCACUACAGCCUGGCCACACUGAUGCAUAAACCUGCCCAUGGCAGGGGCCAAGGUCAGAUCACACUGUCCCUGACUGGGUCCCUCUUCCCUGCAGGCCCAGGCUCUGCCUGUAUCUGACGUUGGGCCCAGCCUUGUAGCACCACCACUUAGGAUUAUUCUGAGGUGCUGACUGACACUUUAAGGUUUUUGUCAUUCUCCACUUCUGAGCUUAUCAAUGGGACAAAAAGUCAGCGCCUCGGCCCUUUGCUGGCCUUUCAGCCACCUGGCAAGCCCACAGUUGGACAGCUCCCUCCAGAGAGCGGCACCUUGCCAUGGGUGAAGGAAGGGCAGGAAGAGAGGAUGAGCACAGCAACACUGAGCAUUUUUUAUGCACCAAGGGCCUAUAACCCGCUUCUGAGUAUUAACUUCUUUAAUUAUACAGUUAGAUACUAUGAUAUUGUUACACCCAUUUUACAGAUGAGGAAACUAAGGCCUCCAAAGGUCAGGCAACUUGCUCAGGUUUUCAUGGCUAGAACAGGGAGGGUCAGGAUUUGAACACAGGCCCUCUGGCUCUAUCUACACUCUGUUCUCUUGAUCAGAUGUCACUGUCUGUCCCCAUGGCAACCUUGGGGCUGACAGCUGGGAGCAGGACGCACACCCAGGAGUCUUAGCCUCAACCCUGAAUUCCUCUUUUGACAAAUGGAAACCUCAUUCCACUCUUGCCGAUGCAUCUUCUAAUCCAGAGCAGAACAUAAUCCCCAUCUCUUUUCUCUGGAACGUUGGGAGAAUUUGUGUCUGUCAAAUGCUUUGGAGAAAUGUGAAAAGAAUGUUUAAAAUGCCAGAUCAUUUUUUCAAAAAAAUCAAUUAUAGGUUUGCCUUUGGGGUAACCCUAAGACAACACAAAAUCUCAAACUUUCAUCCCACUGGAGUGAAGGAAAAUAAUUACUCCGUUAGGUUUUCAGCGAUCACGCAAUUGCCUUGGAUUUUACAUUCAAAUUCCAACCAGGAGGGAACUGCGAUCUUGGAGCGAAUUCUAAAGAAAUGCUGCGAAGGCACAGGUCUCUUCCACAGGGCCCAGGCCUCAGAGCCAGCAGAAACUUUGCAAGUGGCAUUUGCAGCCAAAACAAUUCUGACAGCUCCUCUGGAGGGGUCUGGUAACUAGACUCUGCAAACUGGAAGAAAUUAGCUCUGACCACAGACCAUCCAACAGACCCGUAUUUAAUAAUACUUCCCAAACGUGUGAAGCACUUAGUUUUAGAAUAACAGGAAGAAUGGAAUCACCUGGAACUACAGAUUUGAGUUUCAUUCUGGCCAUCAUACCCUCCCAGGAGCCUUGCUCCUCUGGUGGCCAAGAGGGGUGGCCGAAGCCCGGUGCCGCUCCCCUAUGGCCCCCACCCCAGGGCUAGCCUGUCUUGGAGAAGGGUGACAUUGAGGCUCUGUACCCUGCACCCUGGCCUUCUCGAGGCAGAGGUCAGGUCUGCCGGGGGAAGGAGCCCACGUGCCAGCUCGGGCCUGGAAACGUGAGUCUCCACAGAUUCCACCAGCCUGCGGGAACGGCUAAAAAAUUGCUCCCUUCCUUCUCAGCUGCUCCUGGACAGCUCCAGGAGGCCUUUCCGACAAGAGAGCAUUGUGUCCCAUUGGAGCCCUCCCCUGUCACAAAGGGGGCCUUUCACGGCUGCAACUGGGGAGGGUGGGGACCUCAAGGCCGGCUCGUUAACCAGCUCUGGGCACAGUGGCUGUGGCUCGAGCUACCGCUACCUGGAACGGGCCCUCCUUGGAGACGAACCCUUUAUUUGACUUCUAACAGGGAGCUAUCCUGAAGGAGGCCAGCUUGUUUGCUGGGAAGAGAAGUGGUUGGCUACUUACUGCAAACAGAUGAUACAAAAAUUCACAUAUCCCUUCCGGAAUAAGGGCUGUGGAGGGAUAGAUGGGCUUGUGGUGGGAAUGAUUUUCAGAAAGAUUUGCAAGAGAUUGAUGGCGCUGGUUGUAUCUGGGUAGCUGGGUAGUAUGCAGAAGGGACAGGAGGGGAAGAAACUUACACUCUAUCCCUGUGGACUUAGGCAUAUUGGACUAUGUGAACAAAUAUCUAAUUCAAAAAUAUCCUCACCUUGCAAAAGGCUAAAUAUAUACUCCCAUCUCAGAGAGGGAGGGAGGGUGGGGAUGGGAAGUCCUGCUGGCUGCCCCCGGAGGCUGGGCAGGGUGUGUGUGUGUGUGUGUGUGUGCGCGCCUGGAUGUGUGUGAGAGAGAAGAUCUAAAAUGUAAUGGUUUCAGCAGAAUACGGCCCCGCUGUGUAAUUAAACCAAGGGGGCUGUCGGCUCCCAGAGUUUAAGCAAUUUCAUGUGCAUUUGGUGAUUAUGCCUCUCUCCUUGGAUAAAAGUGCUGCUUCUAUUUUCACCACACAAAAUCAUUCCCAGACCAGGAUGAAGGAUCACCUUCCCUGCCCACCUCAGCAUGAGGCUCCCUCCAGCUGGCAAUCCCAGAAGGGUGGGCUUCUAGUGGGUGCUGGGAGGGGAGUUCAAAACUCCAGGAACCUCUGCCACUGCCUCGGCAAGAGACAGCAUGGCAGCUCCGGGUUCUCUGGACUGAUGGGGCCACUGUGUUCUGCGUCAUCCAAGGACACACAGGCUCAGCUGAGCCAGUCUUUUAUUGCUGGAGGCGUGAGUGUCCGUGCUCUUUGAUCCACCGCUCCUCUGCGGUUUCUUCUGUGACCCAUGGGUUAUUUGGAAGAGUGUUCCUUAAUUUCCAAGUCUCUCGGGAUUUUUUCCAGAUAUUUUCUUGUUGAUUUCUAACUUAAUUCCAUUGUGGUCGGGGAACAUAUUCUGGACAUUUAGUCUUUUGCAAUGUAUUACAACUGUUUUAUGUUCCAGCAUAUGGUCUGUCUUGACGAAUGUUUCACAUACAGUCACAAAGAGUGAGUUUUCUACACUUGCUGAGUGAGUAUUCUAUAUGUUCUAUUAGGUCAAGUGGUCGCUAGUGUUGUUCCAAUCUUUUAUAUUUUUACUGAUUUCUUUUGCCUACUUCGAUCAACUACUGAGAGGAUUUUAACAUCUCCAAUUAUGAUGGUUGAUUUCUUGGUUUCUCCUUUUUUACUAUAAAAUUUUGCUUUAUGAUAUUUUCAAGCUCUGUUAUUAAGUAUAUACACAUUUAACUAUUCACAUGGGUUAAUAUACAUACACAUGUAUAUUUAUUAAUUAUAACAUUAACAAAUAUUAAUGUUUUAUUAAUUAAUGUGCAAUUUUAAUGUAUUAAUUAUAACAUUAUAAUAAUAUAUAAUUAUACAAGUAUAUAAUAUAAAUAGAAAUAUAUAAUACUAUAUUGAUUAUGACAUUAAUAAAUAUUAAUGUUUUAUUAAUAUUAAUUAAUAAUGUAUAUGUGGAUGAAAUUAUGUAUACAGCAUAUAUAUACAAUAUACAAUAUAUGUACAUACAGUACACAGACACACAUGUAGAGAGAGCUUGCUCCCAUCUCUGUGCCCCAUUUGCUCAGUUUCUAGCAUCUCCUCCUCUCUGCACCCUUCCUGGAUAACCAGUUUUAUUCUUCUAGGAUUACUUCAUGCACAUAAAAGAAAACGCAACUACAGUGGACCCUGAACAACGUAGGUAUGAACUGGUUCAACACGGGUUUGAGUCCACGUAUCCAUUUAUAUGUGAAUUUUUUUCAACCAAACAAGGAUGGAAAUACGAUGUUCGUGGAUGUGAAACCUGCACACACAGAGGGCUGACUGUUGGUAUCGUGGGUUCCACAGGGCUGGCUGCAGGACUAGAAUAUGCACAGAUUUGAUAUAUUGAGGGGUCCUGGAACCAAGUCUGCGAGUAUAGCAAGGAAAGAGUGUGUAUAUCUUAUUCCUCCUACACAAAAGUUAGUGCGUCAUACACACCAUUUUGCAGUUUGGCUCUCCCCCUAACAAUAUACCUUGGUGCUCCUUCCCUGUCAGCCCCCACAGAGCUUCCUCCAUCUUGGUGGCAGCUGUGUGAUAUUUAGUCUACUACCAUUUAUUUAACCAAGCUCCAUUGAUGGACAUUUGGCUGGUCACACACCCUGGCUGUUACAUCCUGUGGCCUCUCUCUGUCCCAUCUUCUAGAUCGCCUCCACCCUGCUUCCCUUGUCCUCACACCACACUCCAGCCCAGGAACCAGCCAAGUAAAGGGAGUACCCUUUCUCUUUUAGAAGGUGGGGCAAGAGGAUGGUGGUGAACAUUUUCCUUCUUUCACACACACAUGCCUUGGCAUUGCGUUUGCCUGCAUGCAGCUAUGGCCUGCAGCCACUGAAGAAUGCUUGCAUAAGGAGCUCUUCUCUGCACAUACCCCGACACAGUGAUGGUAUCUUGCAGCUGCUGCUUCUGUCCAAGGCACUGCAGCCUACUCGUCAAAAGCCCGAAGCCCAGCUCUGCCAGCAGUGCACUGUGUGCUCUUAGGUAAUCGCCUGGCUUCAGGACAAUGGGACAGUAACAGCUAACACUGGGACGGAGGUGCUUAUCAUGUACCCAGAACUACUCUUAAGAGCAUUGCAUAUUUAGCCUUAUUUGCUUAAAACAACAUUUUGAGGUCAGUCACAUACUUUCUCCACUGUGUCUUUCUGAGUCACAGAGAGGUUAAGUAACUUGUGCAAGGUCACACUGCUCAGCAGAACUAAGACUCAAUCUUAGCAAUCCAGAUCUAGGUUAUUAUGAGGGUUAAAGGUAUCAGUGAGCAGAACGCACUUGGACCCAGUACACAGCAGGUGCUCAUUGAAGCUUAGCUCUUGUCAUCAUGACUUGCCUAAGGAAUUGGGAUAUGGCUGGUCUUGCUUAGGUGGGGAGGAAGGAGAACUGAAAAAUACAACCCACACUUAGAAAAGUCUAAGAUUCCAAUUUACUCUGCCAAAUUUUUGAAAGCUCUGGAUUCAUGGAAGAGGAGGAGGGAGAGCAGCUAAGAGCAGCUCCUGCUGGGAUCAGGUGGGAAGUGCUGGGUGGGGUGAGUGAGCCCGGGUCACUCUGUUAUUACAAGCCCCGCCCGAGAAGCCUGGCUUCCCGUCUGACCUCCGAUCGUGCUAGCACAGGGCUCCGUCAACGUGAAAUGUGCAAAUGAUUUGGCGUCCCCCCUCCCUUGCUUUUCUUUGCAGGAAACAGAGAAGCAAAGAAGUUAGCAAGCUUGUUUUGGCAGAAGAAAAAACACAAAAUACCCAACCACAGAUCCUCAAAAAUAUUGCUAAGCACUAAUUUUGCUAACAUGUUAGACAGCCUUCGGAUCUAGGCAAUCUUGUUCCUCAGCUGGAAAGAGUUCCUGCCAGCCAUGUGAUUCCAAAUCCACCCUGGACAUAUGGGGAUAAUGAGAAAAUCAGCUCCGGCCUUCCCUGGCCUUCCAGCCAAGUGAAUGGGGGCAUCCCCUGGUGCUUCAGCCCGGGGCCCACCCAGAGGAUGCUAGCUGGCCUGCAGAGGCCUCAACCAUGCCCUCCUGGACUCAGGUAAGACUGAGGUUUCCAUGCCCUCAAAACAAUUGUUCAGACAAAAACUCACUGCCCAGGUCAAAGUCACAGCACCAGAAAGCCAACCUGAGGAUGAAGACAAAGCUCUUUGUUGGCACAGUCCCCUGAUCAUUCGAGGUCAGCAUCUCCAUCAAAAUGGACCCAAUGCUGAGGCAAGAAGGAGAACAUCACUGUUAAGAAGGUAAUGAGUCACAAAUGCUAUUUCGAUGGUUUUCUUUGAAAGAAAUACACAGAACCAAACCAAUUUUAAUUAAAGAUCUUGUCUUUGUAAUCAGGCAGCCACAAAUGAAGGCAAAACUGCUUUCAUGUGGCAUAAUAUACACAGAGCUGAACUAGUUUUCCCAUAAAAGGGCAGGUUCUUUUCUUCAAAUAAGAAAAGAGUUUGUUCCUAACAAUAUGGGGGAUGCAACAGAAAGCUGUCUUUUGCAAAGUAUAAAAUUGCAGAUCCUCCCGUGGAAGCCAUUUCUUGAUGCUAAACCAAUGCGAACGUUUGCCAAACGCACAUGCGAGCCGGGAUUAUCCUACCCUUUGAGAUUAGACAUGUGAUCCUGAUUUUUAAGUGAAAAACGCAGCCAGAGGCCAAAUAAACAUACCUACAAGUACAUCGAAAGCUCAAAUGGUUGAGAAAUGAUUGUAACACACCCCGGUGUGUAUUUCUGAGGAAGAAUCAACAUGCACAUGGAAAUUGAUGUUUUGAUUUUUAAUUUUAAAACGACGACAGAACUGAAAUACCUCCCCUAACUAGGUCCACUGAAACCAGUGAGGAGAUAAUCAUUUUCAGUUAAAUAUGCAUGUAAUUUAAUAAUCCACAGAUGGAAAAUGCAUUUGAGGUGGACUGAACACAGCCAGGAGUUUUUGCUUAUCGACAGCACUGAAUCCUGCCUUGACUAGAGAGACUCGUCAUGUGAUCAACUGUGGCCAGAGGGCAUCCUGCAGACAGCUCCUGUCACACCACACUGACCAGACUCUUAUGAGUAUUUAAGCAUCUUCAGGGAAGCGAUUGACUGUCUUAUAAUGGUCUUACAAGUACGGAACUUUAUUACCUGCUAAUAAUCAGAGCACAUGAUGGCACAAUAGAAUAUACGAGUGAAGUUCUAAAUGCAAGGUUGUUCUUAUUCUGUGAGUGGCAAAACUCAUGCAGUGAGCAGAUAAAGCUGGCAGGAGGCAUUGGCGCCCUAAUGCUGGGCACUAACCACCUGCCCGGACUGCGAAUAUCUGUUGGGUCCUUUCUAUAUCUGGUCUAUUCUCGUGUUUGAUUAUAUCCUGGUGGCAAGAAUAGCAAAAUCAACUCUCCUUCCUAUCCCAUGUGGAGAGGCAUGAUUUGAGUCAGAGAGCAUUAUCCUCUCUGCGUUAUCCAACCCCAUGUCCCAUGAUGCACUUUGUAGACAAGCAAGUGUCCCUGGUGGAGAAUCCACAGCCACACAUCCUCAUUGGUUGCAAGGAUCAGUGUCCAAUAUCUACUGCCAUGAUCAUUCUCAGUUUUACAUCCACAGAGCUUCAUAGAAUUCUAACACCACAGGUCCAAGUAGAGGUUUUGGCCUCAGAGUGGGCUAGAUUCCACCUCUGACAGCAGCUGUGGGACUGUUUUUCCAUCUGUAAAAUGGAGACAAGAGUAUCACCUACCUCAUGGUGUUGGUGGGAUCGUUAAACAGAAUUCCGAUCAUGAAACCCUUAGCCUGCUCCCUGCAUAGGCUGCAUGCGCUCAGUGAGCUAUGGCUCUGUUUCAUGCUGACUUUACCAUCAUGUAAGCAGUUUUAAAAAUGCUAGAAGCUUUAGUCAUAGAAUUACCAUAUGAUACAGCCUACUGCAGAGUCCAGAGGCUGAGGCAGGAGAGUUACUUGAACCUGGGAGGCGGAGGUUGCAGUGAGCCAAGAUCGCGCCACUGCACUCCAGCCUGGGCAACAGAGUGAGAUUCUGUCUCAACACAAAAAAGAAGACAUGUGUCCCCAUCACAGUAUCAUACAGAGUGCUUCCACUGCCCUAAAAUACCCUGUGCUCUUCCUAUUCAUCCCUCUCUUCAACCCCAGCAACCACUGAUCCUUUUACCAUCUCCAUGGUUUUGCCUUUCCCAGAAUGUCAUAUUGUUGGAAUCAUACGCUAUGUAGCCUUUGCAAAUGGGCUUCUUUCACCGAGCAAUGUGCAUUGAAGGUGCCUCUAUGACUUUUCAAGGGUUGAUAGCUCAUUCCUUUUUAUUGCUAAAUAAUAUUCCAUUGUCUGAAUGUACCACAUUUUGUUUAUCCAUUCACCUACUAAAGGACAUCUUGGUUGCUUCCAAGUUUGGGCAAUUAUAAAUAAAACUGCUA